ACAUUGAGACACUGGUUCUCGUACUAUCACAGAAGUUAAGCAACGCCGAGUCUCGUCAGUACCGAGAUGGGGGACCGCUCGGGAAUGCCAGGUGCUAUC